rnacentral:lncRNA from 1 species
UCCCAUACCCCCCUUCUCUACCUCUGGGGCCCACAGUAAACCCAAGGUAAGCCGGGCGGGGGAGGGUACUUUUCCGUCUGGGUCUGAAAGGGGAGCUUCCUUUAUAUGUUGAAAAUGGAAUUCAUCUCUGUAAUGCCAUUUUGGCACUUGAGACGUUAUGUCUUAAGAAAAACAAAACACAGCAGGUUGUCAACCGUGUAAACUGUAGACAGGGGUUUCCUGCAAGGCAGGUGGUUCUGCAUCCUGACGCCCACAGCCCUCAGAUUCUCAGAGGUGGGAAACUGCAGCCAGGACAAGGGUGAGAUGAGCAAGGCACAAAAUUCCCGGGGCUGCCCCAAACCCAGGCAUUAAGACUUACAACAUUUUAAAAUUAUGGUCAAACUAUACUGUAAACCAGCUAUAACGGCAAAAUUAAAAAUCAAGAUAAGUGAAAAUAAAAUAAAAUAAAAUUAUGGUCAAACACACAUACAUAAUACAAACUUCCCCUUUUCACCGCGUUCAAGUUCAGCAGCAUCAAGUUCAUUCACACUGUUAGGCAGCCACCCCCACCCUCCACCCCCACCCUCCACCAUAGUUUUAUUUUAUUUUAUUUUUAUCUUGAUCACCUGAAACUCUGCCCCCAGGCACGAUAACUGCCCAGAUAAAUACCAUCCUAAUGAAUUUUUUAAUUAAACUUUAUGUUUUAGAGACAUUUUAGGUUCACCGCAAAGGUGAGAGGAAGUUAUAGAAGUGUCCCUCCUGUCCCCUGCCCCCCACCAGCUUCCCACAUUAGUGGUGCAGUUGCUCUGCUCCACAACCUACACUGACCCCCGCAGCCUGCUGUCUGGUGGUGGAAACAUCCUCCGGGGUUGGACAAAUGGGCGAUGACAGGCUGCAUCCUUGCGGUGGGUACAGGCAUGGCCACGGCCCCACACUCCUCCGUGCUUGUCCUCGUCAUCCCUGCCCCAACCCCAGGCGGCCACUGGUCUCCCAUCGCCAGAGUGUUGCCUUUUCUAGGCGGUCACGGAAUUGGAAUCCAACAGCGUGGAGCCUUUUCAGAUAGGCUUCUUCCACUUGGUUAUAUGCGUCCAAGUGUCUUAUACAGUAUUUUUUUUAAAGCUCAACCUUGACGCAAACAUCCAGGAUGAACAAAAUAUCAGCACUCAAAGGCUGGAGCAAUAGUAGCGCCCCCCCAACUGCCCCCCCAAACAUCUUCACUUUAGCAAACGCCGCCAUGCGAACUCGUCACACAUUCUGUCCUGUAAUAAAACUGGGACGUUUUCCUUUGACCACUUGCUGCCAAUAUUUUCACUCUUUGAGGAGGCCGUCUAAGUGAAUUAUUAAGCCGGCCGUGGCAGAUUGGACUCGGAGCCCGCUGGCUGCGCGGGCCCUGCUCCCCCCGCCUGCCCCACCCCGCCCCUGCCCAACGUUUCUGGGAAGUUCCUAGGUGGUGGGUGGUGUAGGUUACAGCUGAGACAUUCGUUCAGAUCAUACAAAUAAAUAAAGGCUGGAGAAGCAGCAUGGAGCGUGUGUCCUCAGCGUCCAGCACAACCUCCCACCACUGUUUCCAGAGCUUUUCCUGGCUGGACUUCAGAAUAACUUCGUCUGAGUUUCAGCAGAAAAGUGCUUCCAGGGGUGAAAGAAUGACUUUAGCCCUGUCCCUUCAUGAGCUCAGUCCUUUCCAGCCCUCUUCCCACCCACCAGGGGCUGCGAGGUGGGGGUGGAGGGGCUGUGGGUUCUGGAACAUGCUGGCUCCCUCCUUUAACCAGGGCUCUGGGGUGAGCAGCCCAGGGGGGCACCUCUGAGCCACAUGAUGCACUGCGGCAGCAUCCCCAGGGAGCCCUGAAGCUCCUGGCAGUGACCGGGAAGAAAAGCCGUCACGCCUGGGAGGCUGGUCCAGGGAGGACGUCAGAGGGUGCCGUUUCUGGCAUCCCUUAGAUGGAAGAGGGUCUCCAGGCGUCUCGGAUGCCAGGGGGUGACGCGGGCAGUGUGGAUUUCUGAGGGUGUUGGGUCCAUGGUGGGGGGGGGAGGCUCCAGGUCUGAUAGCAACAGUGUGGGGAGGCGGGGAGAGGGACAGCAGUGGGGGCCGCAGGGCCGGGAAGGAGCCCCGCCCCAAGGCUACCCAAGAGCCCUUCUGGGCACAGUCCACUUUCUUCCGACGGCCACCCGGCUCCUGGCAAAGUGGUGAGAAGCCAGCGAGAGUCCCUCCUAGAGAGAGAUGAAAAGGCAGCCCUCCCACUCCCAGGGACAGAUCACGGAGAAGCCAAGGCGCACCGGCAGGAAGGCCUGCCUGCCUCCCCGUGGGCAUCUCCUGCCGGUUAGCAGUGUGCCACUUGAAAAGGAAUCUGGAUGGGUUUCCUGUUGAUCUCCUGGAAGCAGCUCUUGGCUUCUAGAGCAGAGGAUCCUUGGAUUUUCAAGGAUCUACGGGAGAAAUGGCUGAAAAUGGUGCCUCUUCCCGACUUUGUGAAUUGCGACGCUGGGAGAACAGGACCCAGAUCCUUCGCCAGAGACGUGGGCUCCGCCUCACAGGCAGCUUCUCAGUAGAAAAGGACAAGAAGGACUGGAGGGGGCUUGGGGCCGAAUCCCUGGGCCCUGCGAACACUUGGGUCCCUUACACCCACCCUCACACCUGUGGGCGGCCGAGGACUUGUCCCCGGAUCUCAAGGCUGAAGAAAGAGGCUCCCAGGGGUCAGGCAGCCGCCCCUCCCCGCCCGCCCGCCGGUCCCGCCACGGGAUGCGCGCAGCUGGAGGGGCAAGUGGGGUCCGGGGCACACGGUGCUGGGACUGAGUCAAGACUGGCCGCACGUUCGGCCCCAGCAGCCCAAGGCUUCUCUUUCAGAAGCGAAAUGUUUCGUGUCCUGCGUUUUGACAGCCAGUGUGGGAUAAAGUUAAAAGCAUCCGGUGGUAUUUUCCCAGAAGUGGUUAUUCUAAGAUUUCCCGGAUCCGAAUGCAACUGGCCCUUCUUGGCAGAGCCAAGACCCCAGGAGCCCGAGGUGGUCUGUGCAGCCCCGAGACCAUCUGGAGCAGGCAGGUGCCCCACGUGACCCGGCCCCAUGGGUGGGGGUGUGCCCCGCCCCCCAAGCUUCCUCCCAGCUCUCAGCGGCGGUGUGGCCUUUGAUGCCCUGUGGAAAGAAGACGCGGAGGGCAGGGGCCGCCCCCAGCAGCGGGCCUUCAGCCGGCGUCCUGGCUGCGUGAUUCCAGGGCAGAGAAAGGGCCACCUGACAUCUUGUAGGGCCCUGGUGGGCUUGCGGGAUGGGGGAACCUGGGGUUCCCGGGGCCCAUCCCAGGCCUGGCAGAGGAGAACUCUUCUCCCCUGCCCCCCAAAGCAGAGUGCUGGGUGCUGCUCCCCAGAUCUUGCCUAACGGCUCAGGGCUUGGCUGGGGGCCUUUUAGACGCCUCCAGUGAGGUGAGUAGAAUGUAUCCACAUGUUUUUAUGGUGAAAACUCAGGCCAGAAGCUUCCAAGGAGGUGGGUGGGGUGGGCGCGUGUGGAAAUUCCUCCCGCGUUGAAGUAGGUUCUGCAAGGAACCAUUGCCCUGCUGCCUUUCAAAAAACAGCGAAAGUUAAGCUCAUCCCUAAACCACCCACUGAGCCAGCACAGAACUUCUCUGAAACAAUCUGCAAACGCCACACGCCUGACGGCCAGGAUGGUCUUUCCCGGACGGUGAAUGUUGCCAAACAAAGAAGCGAAUAGGAGGAGGGAAGGGGAAGCAGUGCAGACUGUACAGGUGUCUUUCUGUGUCUUCCUUCGGGCAGGGAAGUUCGUACAAAAAGUGCAAAUGAAAAUACAACCUCAAGCAUUGUGUGUUGCUUCUAAAUUGGCCUUGAUUUGCGUGACCGCUUGAUAUGUCUUUGCUACAUCCUGGGCCUCCAAUUGUGAGUUUUCUUUCCUCCACCGUUAGAUUUCUGUCCUUUUGAAGUAAGGAAACAUCCGUGGUUUCUUUCAAGCAAUGUUAGGCGGCAUUUUUUUUUUUAACGAGUCAGAGCAGGAAGAGGCCACUGAGCCUCCCUGGCUCACGUCCUGAAAUCCCAACGACCUCUCAGAAAGCCACGUCACACCCUACCCAUCCAGCGAGGGUCUCUGCAGCAGGAGAGGAGGUUUCAGAGCCCUUUCGACUUUAAAAACCUUUAGAGCUGGUUUGAAAAGCCUCCAAAAGUUUGGAGAAAUAACUUGGAACAUUUGAGGCUAAAAUUGGGGUGGCUAUUUCCCUCCUAAGGAAACGAUUCAGAAAAAUCCUUUCUUUCCUCAGAGAAUUCCACCCCAGUGGCCUGCCCAAAGCUCCCCAGUGGACAGAUGGCUGAGAUGCUCAAACUCUGGGCUCUUUCUGUUUACCCACUGGGGGGAGGGUACCUCCAGCUGGGCUUGUAAACCACACCCCCUACCCCCCGCCGGUCCCCACUGAGAACCAGGCUUUGAGAUCUGCAUGGGAGGGGAAGGAGUUUGGAACCCACGUGCUCACCCUCUUCAAAUAACACCUACUUAAGACUCAGUUAACAGAACAUCUAGGUUCUCACUAGGCAAAAAACCAGCAAGGAGAAGAAUUCCAGUCCCAACUCCCGAUCUCAUUUUCUCAGAAAAGGUUUGAAGGGCCCCGCCUUAAAAGACAGGUACAGGGUGGACCACCCAGGUGCCCAACACGGCGCCACCUUGGUCACUAAGGGGUCUCCCUUUCAGGGUCGUGCUCCUUCUAAGGCAGAACAGCAGAAAUGACAAGGAAAAUGUCCUGCUGAGGCCCAGCAGCAGGAAGUGGGCAGUGCUGCACCUGCUCACGUGACAUGACCGAGCACAGUCCCUGGCGUGGUCUGGGCCACUUGACACAGUGUGGGUGUGUGCGGGUGAGCCUCUAAUGCCUCAGCCGUUCCGGCUGCGAGUGCCUGACUGGUGGAGUCUCUGAAUAGAAGCAGCUGCUCAGGGGCCUGCGGGCUCUGUGCAGGCCUGGCCACCAGGAGUCUGCCCGCUGCCAUCCAGGCAGACACUAAACGUGUUCCUCCAUCAAGCCUGCUGCCGGGAAGCCCUGCGCCCACACUCAUCAGAGGAGCCGGGCUGGGCUCCGGCCCCGCGCCCAGUGUGGGCUGUCGUUUUUUUUAAAGGUUCAUUAUCAAACCGCAAGAUGUGUGGUCAUAUUUCCUUGUCAGAGUUAAAAAUAAAAGCCGGUGCCCUCAAAUCACGACAUCGAGUCCUUUCCAUCAGAACGUGAUUGCUUUGGCUAUCUGGGAACGAAUUCCAGGGGUACCGCGCGCAUGGUGCUCCUCCGAUAGGGGAGACGCCCAGGGGAUCGUGGGGACAGCCCGGCUUAUCCUUUGAGGCAGCACAUUCUUAUUUCCAAUCGUACCCAUUUUAUUUACCUUUGCUUCCCCCUAAAAUACACUACAAACUUCUCAGCCAUCAUAGUACCUGAUUUUUUAAAAUUACGGUGACAGGUACAUACCGAAGCUGCUUGCUCUGAUCGUGGCCGCGAGUGCGGCUCCGGGAGCGGAGACGCAUCCCCAGGGUUGUGCAGCCAUCAUCACCCACAGAAACUGACUCGUUUGAACAUGAAUGGACCUUGUUUUGAUGACUCGGCGUCGCCGUCUCCACCUGCAGGGCUAUGUCGUCUUGUUUCUAUAUCCUCUUGCUGAGGACGCAUGACGUGCGUGCUCAGUUUACUGCGUAGACGAGGCAACCUCGGGCCCCUAGGGUUGGGGGUCGCGAGCAGCGUUGUCAUUGCUCCUGUUUCUGCUGUUCUUUGUCUUCUCCCCGCAGAGCGUAACACCGAUUUUUCUCCGCUCUCGGGGCCCUGGCCUGCCGCAGCCACUCUUUCCUAAUCUUGCACAGGCGAAAGUCAGUCAUCAAACCUGCAAAAAUGCUGAAGCACGCAUUCCUCUGCCGAGAAGGCUUUCCCACGAGUGAGGGUCGAAGCCGCCGGUGAGGGGCCUGCACCAUGUGCCUCUCGUGCUUCGGGAAACCUUUCUGCUCCCCCCGUCCCGUCCUUGACUUUGUCUCCAGUUGUCGUGAUUGACAUGCGUCUGACCUGUGAAGAAGAGAAGGACCCUCAUUCCCGGGAAUCUCAGUUGCCCGGAGCUCCUCUUCACAUCAAAGGCAGGAUGCGAUCUUGGCAUCUGGAGGCCUCGGCCCCACUGGGAAAGCUAAGGAGAAAAUUCAAUUAAGCAGACAAAAAUUUAAGCAAAACUCCCUUUCGGCUUCCUAUCAUUUCCUGCCGUAGAAAUAAAAGACAGAUUCUUUC